GAAUGCAUUACGCGGUAACCGUAACCGUGGGCUGGUUUUCCAGAGAGAACCCGUGUCCUAGAUCUCUCUGGACCCCGGGAAACUCUCCUCAGACCGGGUUUCCUGGCUGUGGGCCUGGGAGAGUCGGCAGUGAGCAGCCCAGCGGUGGGCACCGCAGCCAGGCGUCCCUGGAACUUCCCAGGUGUCCCACUCCUCAGCCAGUUCUGCUCACCUGUGAGUCUGAACCAAGAGCCCUGGAUGGUGAAGAGAAGAAGCUGUAGCAAAGGAUCCAGAGUUGCCAUGGACACGGAGUCUCUUCACAGCAGUCAACUCUAACUAAGACAACAUUCAUCAAGGAGCUCCUUUCCCAAAACACAGUAUUGUUUCAACAUCUAUUUAUCUUGCCUUCUGCAUGGCACACAGUUAAGGUAUGUAUUAGAAAGUUUUUGUUAAUUCUUCUGAUCAUCCACAAAAGGAUAUUUCAUCAACAACAACAAGCCUCUGCUGAGAGUGUCAUUCUGGAGAAUUGUUAGUUUACCAAUGGUAACAAAUAUAACCAGAAAUUGAUUAUUGGAUAUUUUCAGUAGUGCAACAAUCUCUAUUAGCUUUAUUUGUAUUCAUUUUCCAGUGAAUGUUCACAUAUGUGGUAAAUGUGGGCAAGUCUUAAAUAGAAGGCCCAAAGCAUUUUGCCCAUCAGUGUGUGAAUACCCAAGAGAAGUCUUACACACAUAAUGAUCUUGGGAAUGAUUUAUGAAUCCUCACAGUGUAUACUUUUUUUAAACACAAAUGAUACUACAGAAAAUUGUUAUAAAUGCUGACAUAUUAACUAUAAAUAUUAUUCUAUUGACACAUUAAGCAUGAACAGUCAUAAAAAGUUUGCAUAUUGGAGAAGGACUUUAUGAAUAUAAAGACUGACAAGUGUUUUAAUUUGUAUUCAAACAUCAAAGUCCAAUAAUAAACCCACCCUAGACAACAGUGCACAAAAGAAGAGACUGAUAACUACUUUGAUACUAAGUACAACUUGUGAUAAAAACAAAUCUCUAUUGGAAAAAAACCUACCAAUGCAGGAAAUUCAACAACAAUGGACUGCCUUCCAGAGAGAACAUGACAGGGAUAAGCUCCCAGCCUUCUCCAAAGCUGAAAGCCAACUACAAUUAAAUGUUUUCCUUUAUGAGAUGUGUAGUGGUCAUGAAGUCUCUUCACAUAUACUCUUCUUUUAGCUGCCUAUGAGACAGUCUUCUGUUUGCCUUCAGAACAAGAUGUAGAACUCUCAGCUCCUCCAGCACCAUGCCUGGCUGGAUGCUGCUAUGCUCCCUGCCAUGAUGAUAAUGGACUGAACCUUCGAACCUAUAUGACUACACCUAUUAAAUACCC
ensembl:lincRNA Gm16386 predicted gene 16386